ACACACACUGCAGUGCGAGUAGCUAAGCUCAUUUGGCUCAGUCCGUUUCCAUGGAAACAAGCCACUCUCUCCGCAACGCGACCGCUGACAACAAAGGAAACGGAGGGGACGGAUGCAAGAAAAAGUAAACAGUUAAAAUGCUGCAGCAUGAAGAAGCACCGCUGAAUGUUCUGAAUAAUCCUCCUCAUGUCCAGGUGUUGCAGCAUCAGCAUGACGGGCGAAGGGCCAGUCUGAGCAUGAAAGAACAGGACAGUCAUCAUCACACAAGAGUCGCCACAAUGCAGCACACAAUGGGUUGCAUAACCAGUGUGUGUGUAGAUAAUUAGACGGCACUAUUCCUCCUAUAGCUGCAAACAAAACACAACAAAUCAGUACAGCAGAGCUUCCACGAAUUCUUAAAUUAGCUCAUUAAGAAGACGGGAAACUAAUCAAUUUUGCAUUUGUCUGUUUUGUUUUUUUCAAUAAGCAAACUGAAUUAAAACAAAGAGAUUUCUCCGCUCCAAUCUUGACAUUUGCUCAAUAAAACAAUGUAAAUGUGCGCUUGUAAAGUUCCACCUCAUUUCGUCUUAGUCACACUUGACAACCAGCUACGUUCUGAUAACCGGGAUGCAGCAGCAGUUUUCAGAGUAAAGCGUCUUGAGGCAGAUAAGACGAGAGCAACACCAGUGUUUUCCCAAAUCCCUCGUCUGCUCAGCUCAUUACGACACACUCACGCUGCUUCCACACUCGCUCACACUUUAACACAUAUUUUGAGAAAACAUCAUAAGACCCCGCCAGCAACGAAUUAGGAAAUAAUCAGCCGGUUCGCUGUCAACACUUCCAGCGUAAAGCUCCUUUGUCUGCUGCGGCCUCACCCAAAAGCCUGGAUUUAGGAACAGACAUCGAAUAAAUCUGAGUGUUGUUCUUCCAGUUGCUUAUAAUUUAAACCAUGCUGCUGCUGGUUUUCGUGCAUUUUCAUAAUCGAGUAUAUUUUAACUUCUCUGCAAACAAUGCUGCUGUGUUUCAGAUAUUUGACUUUCAAAUGAGCCUUUGUUUGUACCAGAAAUGCAGACGCUGAUGGAAAACAAUCGCUGCCUAAAACAGAAAGCUGCAGGUGUUUGAAAAAGCUGCACAAAGUUAAAGCAAACAUGACUUGUCAUUAAAUAGAUAAAACCUUUCACUAUGGCUACCUCUCUGGCCUCAGGCAGCAAUUUCAAGAAAAUGGGAAGUAAAAUUUGAUUUUAGUCAGUUGACGUUGGAAACAUCAUCAUUAGGAAACAAAUCUGAGAGUGAAGGGGAAUAGGAGCACAAGCAGAAAACCAAAACAUCUCCACGUCAAGAUGGAUGCUUUAGUUUCAGGCUUUUACUUUUGCUUUUGACUUUUUAAAACCACUGAAUGCUAAAAUGAAGUGUAGCAGUCACACAAGUAGGGAAGUCAUGAAGUUAACAAACGGAUUCUGCAAUGUUGGCUAUGAAGUACUAUUAGUUUAAGGUUUGUUAAUUAGAAUUGACUAAUCAAAAAGUUAUCAACUAUUAAGUUAUUUGUCAACUAUUUAGAUAACAAUCAAUUUGAGUAUUUUUUUUAUGGGAAGAAAGUUUUUACUCUCUGAUUUCAGUUUAAAAAAACCUCCGAACCUCCAAACCUGCUGACAGGUUUAAAACACAGGCAAGAAUCAACAAAAUGAUGACAAGAGGGAUUGUCCUUUUGAGGUCAACAAGCUGUUCAUUAAAGGCGUACAGAUGACUUAAACUGUCAUUUUUGCUGCAUUAUGUCACAAUGCUUGAAUCAGAAAUGGCACCUUGGGAGAAAUCAUUAAAAGAACAUCUGCAGCACUGAAUCACUGCAGCUCUUGA